AUCGGGCGGACGGAUGUUCUUCAGCGGAAGGCCUGGAUUCAGGUUAGUUUUCGAUUUCGCUAAAUUAACAUUUCCGGAACGAACUGCUUUCGCAUGUUGGGGGCUCAGCCGUUACCUCAACCUCGAACAACUGUGAUGGUUGGAGAUGGUUGGUGCUAAUCUCAUAUGUAGCAUAAUUGACAUCCCAUGCACCAAUAAAACGACGAAAGCAGGAGCGCUUCUGACAGAUCGUCAAAGUUCAACAAAAACCCGUCCAGCAUUAUCAUACCGGAUGAGCACCACAGCAGCAGAAGCGAUAGCGAGUUCGAGCGGAAGAGCAGCAUCAGUAACAUAGUCAUCGAUAAGGACGGAAGCUAGUGAAAAAGUAUAGCUUCGAUUAUUGUCACAUUUUUAUCGCCAAGGUAUGGACGACGUUGCUGGCGUAGCUCAUUAUUGACAUCUAAGGAACCGUGCGCCGAAAAUUGUAGUGAAUUUGAAGGCUGAAAACGUGGUAAUCAACAGCACCAACAUAGCCACGUAAAGAUUUCCAUGUCGUCUUUUUCCCCGCCGCUGCUGUCGCAGAAAUGAAACCGUGGAUCCGUAGUAUUUUGAAGGACUCGAGAAAAGGUUUCAAGCGUCUAGUCGUGAUUUCUUUUUUUGCGGUACAACGGUCACUGCAGACGGCAUCGUAUACCCAACUGGACUUCUGGAUUCACCGCACCUGACGAUAAAACGGAAAAAAUGCGCCAUCGGUAACCUGGCGCACUGCGUAAAUGUAAUCGGGAUCCGGAGAUUGUGAGACGGCAUCGUAUACCCAACUGGACUUCUGGAUUCACCGCACCUGACGGUAAAA